rnacentral:rRNA from 1 species
UACGGAGGGUGCGAGCGUUGUCCGGAAUCAUUGGGCGUAAAGGGCGCGUAGGUGGCCCGGUCAGUUCGUGGUGAAAGCGCGGGGCUCAACCCUGCGUCGGCCAUGAAUACUGCCGCGGCUGGAGCACUGUAGAGGCAGGCGGAAUUCCGGGGUGUAGCGGUGGAAUGCGUAGAGAUCCGGAAGAACACCGGUGGCGAAGGCGGCCUGCUGGGCAGUUGCUGGACACUGAGGCGCGACAGCGUGGGGAGCAAACAGGG